rnacentral:tRNA from 1 species
AGAUUAGCGCAAAUUUUGCUUUAUGGUUUCGGCCCAUCUAAUUGGGAUGAAACCUCCCACUAAUCUU